AUUGAACGCUGGCGGCAGGCCUAACACAUGCAAGUCGAACGGUAACAGGAAGACGCUUGCUUCUUUGCUGACGAGUGGCGGACGGGUGAGUAAUGUCUGGGAAACUGCCUGAUGGAGGGGGAUAACUACUGGAAACGGUAGCUAAUACCGCAUAACGUCGCAAGACCAAAGAGGGGGACCUUCGGGCCUCUUGCCAUCGGAUGUGCCCAGAUGGGAUUAGCUAGUAGGUGGGGUAACGGCUCACCUAGGCGACGAUCCCUAACUGGUCUGAGAGGAUGACCAGCCACACUGGAACUGAGACACGGUCCAGACUCCUACGGGAGGCAGCAGUGGGGAAUAUUGCACAAUGGGCGCAAGCCUGAUGCAGCCAUGCCGCGUGUAUGAAGAAGGCCUUCGGGUUGUAAAGUACUUUCAGCGGGGAGGAAGGGAGUAAAGUUAAUACCUUUGCUCAUUGACGUUACCCGCAGAAGAAGCACCGGCUAACUCCGUG
rnacentral:rRNA from 1 species